rnacentral:misc_RNA from 1 species
AAGUCGUAACAAGGUUUCCGUAGGUGAACCUGCGGAAGGAUCAUUACCAAAUCCAAUACCCAACCCCAUGUGAACCUGUACUGUCUGUCUUUGGGGGGAGACGUAGUGAUGUGUGACACUAGUUGUUUCCUUGCUUGUUUUCCCCCAAAUGAGCCCAGCACCUUGGUGUUGUUGGCUCCCUGACUAAACCACUUUUAUAAUAUUUGUUGGAAUAACUUUUAUUAACUAUAAUAAAGGACAACUUUGAACGGUGGAUCUCUUGGCUCGU